rnacentral:sRNA from 1 species
AUGAACUGGCCGGGUGGCUGGUGUCCUAAAAUGGUCAUAGUAGAGGCACUAGUAGUGACAGCUUCUCAUGGCCUUGCCAAAGUGCUUUACUCAGUCAAAGAGGACUACUCUUUCAGAAGAAAGACUUCAGACACCAUUGCCAAAUCAAACUUUAGCUUCU